rnacentral:lncRNA from 1 species
GAGGUGGAUGCCCCAGGGUCAUUGAUCUUAUCAGAAGUAAAGUCAAUGGAUCCAAAGGUUAUGAAGAACCAUUGAACCUAAGAGGAAAGACGAGACAAGGAACAUCAGGGAAACUGACUUUCAGGCACCCUGUUGCCAGAACGGAGACCAGAUGCUUCUCUUGAUUUGGUUUUACCACUGCAUGUGUGCUUGGUGCCUACAGACCCGGAGUUCACUUGAGUUCACUUCCUAGAACCUACGUAAAGCUUUUGGGUCUGGAAGGAAUAGACUCCAUCAGCAAGGGAGAGGUGUGGUGGCAGGAGCAGGAAGCCAAGGGACUGACUACAUCUCCAACCGCAAACAAGCAGCAGAGAGAGCAAAUGACAUGAGCUCGCAGAUGCCGUUCCGGCCACCAUGGCUGCCUCCUACCGUGCUUCAUCACCAUGGAGAUGGACUCAUUCCUUUAUAAGCCCCAAAUGAACACUGCUAAAAGUUGAUUUUGUUGUGGUGUGCUAUCAAAGUAACUAAUACGCCCAACAGUCCUGCUCCUGGAUAUUUGUCAAAGAAAUAAAAAAAAAAAAAAACCAUGUCUAGUAAAAAUUGUUCUU